AUUGAACGCUGGCGGCAGGCCUAACACAUGCAAGUCGAACGAGUGGCGGACGGGUGAGUAAUGUCUGGGAAACUGCCCGAUGGAGGGGGAUAACUACUGGAAACGGUAGCUAAUACCGCAUACCAUCGGAUGUGCCCAGAUGGGAGUAGCGAGUAGGUGGGGUAACGGCUCACCUAGGCGACGAUCCCUCGCUGGUCUGAGAGGAUGACCGGCCACACUGGAACUGAGACACGGUCCAGACUCCUACGGAAGGCAGCAGUGGGGAAUAUUGCACAAGGGGCGAAAGCCUGAUGCACCCAUGCGGCGUGUAUGAAGAGGGCCUUCGGGUUGUAAAGUACUUUCAGCGAGGAGGCGUUACUCGCAGAAGAAGCACCGGCUAACUCCGUGCCAGUAGCCGCGGUAAUUC
rnacentral:rRNA from 1 species